GAUGAACGCUGGCGGCGUGCUUAACACAUGCAAGUCGAACGGUGAAGGCGGAGCUUGCUCUGCUGGAUCAGUGGCGAACGGGUGAGUAACACGUGAGCAAUCUGCCCCUGACUCUGGGAUAAGCGCUGGAAACGGCGUCUAAUACUGGAUACGAGCUGCGAAGGCAUCUUCAGCAGCUGGAAAGAACUUCGGUCAGGGAUGAGCUCGCGGCCUAUCAGCUUGGUGGUGAGGUAACGGCUCACCAAGGCGUCGACGGGUAGCCGGCCUGAGAGGGUGACCGGCCACACUGGGACUGAGACACGGCCCAGACUCCUACGGGAGGCAGCAGUGGGGAAUAUUGCACAAUGGGCGAAAGCCUGAUGCAGCAACGCCGCGUGAGGGACGACGGCCUUCGGGUUGUAAACCUCUUUUAGCAGGGAAGAAGCGAAAGUGACGGUACCUGCAGAAAAAGCGCCGGCUAACUACGUG
rnacentral:rRNA from 1 species